AGUCCUAGUAUGUUGCAGAACAAUAGUUAGAUGAUUAACAGUCAACAUUAGAAAAACUUAAAAAGACAUUUUGCAGUUUAAAUUAUUAUGAUUAAUACUUGAUGCUUUCUAAUCAAAAGUUUUCCAUCUUAAUUAGCCAAUCAAACUUUUGGUUAUUGUUGGAGCAAUAUCAAAAUGGAAAAACUUUGCAUGUAGAAAGGGAAAUGGGAAAGGUUUAAUUGAAAAUAUGAGAUUGGUUCUUUGAAAAUCUAAGGGGAAAGUAAACAAACUUCUCUUUGAUAAUAUAAAUGGUCCACUUGGUUCUGUUGCAGCCUUGUUGUGCAAGGUUUCCAGUUUCAACUUCUAAGAGAUUGCAAAUGAUUUUUAUGACAAUUGUGGUAAUUGUAGGAUUAUAUAUUUCAUUCAUUACUUCAUAAUUCAACCACUAAACUUUCCCUGAGGUUGCAAACUUUUGAAUCACACCAACUAUACUUACCAAAAGGUAUCGAUGCUUUUGUUAAUCUCAUAUUUGAAACUUACGAUAAUAGAAUCCAUAUUACAACAUUUUUUAAAUUAAAAGUAGUAGUUCUAUUAAUAUCAUUAAAUUUGAUGUAUUCUUAAUCUGCCAAACAAUUGGUUUCAUAAUAUGUUAAUGAACUUUAACAAUUUAUUUUAUCAAUAUUUUCAUGAUUUUUGGAUACAUCUAAGUUUGUGCUAUUAUUGGUGGUAUAAACUUUGAAAUUGUGAAUGAACUAGACUGACAUGUUUUCCAAAAAUCACUUUUUAUUUUUCAUGAUUUGGCGUAACUAAUAAUGCAAAUUGGCUUUAACCAAUUAAAGUUUAUUAUUUCCAUAUUUCCAACUCCACUUUUAAUUAGUACUUUGUUAACCUCAAAACAAAAUCACAAAAAUGAAUUUCUAAGAAAAAUAUGUAUUCCCACUUUCAUCACUUAAAAGUUGAUCAAUGGUCAAAUUUUAGCAAUCUUAGAGAAACAAUUUUGAAAAAAAUGACAUUUCCUUUCUAUUACUUUAUUUUUUCUCAAGAAAUCUUUUAAGUCAUCUAAUUUUGAGGGGAGAAAAAAACUCAGUUUACCAUCAAUGGCGAAUUAUUAUUAUUAUUCUUAUGAAUUUAGUUUUAGCAACAUGGCUAGAAUUGGCAUUCAUAGCACAAGAAGAUGUGAUAUAGAACUUAAAAAAUUAAGCUUCACUAGAUAUCAACAAAAAUAACAAUUUACUAUACCAAAAUCUCAAAUUAGUUAGUCACAAAAUAAAUCAAUCAUUCAUAUAUAAAUAAACACAAUUAACAUGCAUGAUCCCUAUACAAAAUAAUAAAUCGUUUUAUUAAUAGAUGUUUAAAGACAACGAAUUACCUAAAGAAAUCUCUAUCAUAUAAUAUGAUAGUCUUUCUUUUUUCACAAAAACUCUGCAUAGUUCUAAUUUUUAUCACCGAAUAGAUCACAUAUCAUCCGUGCUAGUUGUUUAUCCUUAUAAAUUCAUAACAUCACGUACAUCUUCUUAUCUAAUCGAAUACAAGACUUUACUUUGAUCUCAUUCUCUAACCUAUUAUUAUAAUCAUUUAUUUGUGUGUCAAUGAAAUCGUUAAAGGCCAAACAAAAACAUGAUUUUGUGGACCUAAUUAAAAUCAAAAGCAAAGCUAUGGAAACUUACAGAAAAGAUGCAUAAAAAAUUCGAAUAAAAAAUCUCCCCUAAACACCAUUUUGAGAAUACUUUGAUUGAAAAAAAAAGUAGAGAUGUUACAUCUCUAUUUCAUGCAAGAAGAGAAAGAAGAAAAAAAGGAACAAUUUUAGAAAACAUGGAAAACUAUCAAAGAUUAGCAUCUCAAUGUUGUGUUUUCUUUUGUUUUCUCUUUUACUCUACAAAGUAAACAAUAUUCAAAUGUAGUAAAACAAUAACAACUUUUUCAAUAGACAUACUGUGUUUCCAAAAUUUUGAAGAAUUAUAUAUACUCCAACGCGUCUUGCCAACUUUCUUAAUAUUAUCCAACUUGGAUUCUUCUUCUUGUUUCAUAGUAACAAUUUUCUCUUUUUUCUCUUUUCUAUUUAUUCCUAUAUAUAUAACCUCAAUUGAACAACGUCCUCUAGUACUGUUCACACAACCCUUGAUAGCAUAUAUAUGUAUGUGAACCUAACCCCACUUUUCAACUAUUGCUCACAAAUAUAUACACGAUUGUGACAACUUAACGUUUAGAUGAAUCAAUAUGUCCUCUCUCUUAAAAGAAUCUUCAUCAUCUCAUUCCAUUUCAUGUGUGCCUAAACAUAACCCCUUUGGGUAAAAAUAAUUCAGUGUUAAUUUUUUUUAAAAAAAAUAUCCCUUUUGUGUCUCCUAAUCUUCAUUUAUGUUAAGUUAGGAAGAUGGUGUAAGAUAAAAUGUACUAUGUUUAGAGAGUGAAAAACAAAAUGCAACCUACUUUUUUAUAAAAGAAAAAACCUAACUAAAACCCUUAACAUAAAAGAAAAUCAAUGAUUAACUAUAAUAGAUAGUAAAUGAUAGAGAAAGGUUAGAAGUUUAAACAAUGCACCAAACACUUUUGAAAUACAGUGAAUGAAAAAGAAUUUGAGCAACACAUCUUGAAAGACUUCAUAUUUUUUGGGAAUGCAUUUAUGAAAGAUUGACGAGGAAAGGAUGUUAAGUUUAGAAAAGUUGAGUAAGAUUAUAGAGAGUGUCAAAUUUGACUAUAUAUAAAAAGAUAGAAGAGAAAGAGUUUAUUAAAUACGACAAGAGAUGAUUUUGAUGAAAACGUGUGGGGUUGGGAGAGAGAGUAGAUUUUUACUACAAAUUCAAACUCAUUUUUUUAUGAAGAGAGAAUCCAAAAAGAUGGCUUUUUUAAAAUGAAGAAAAAAGAAGCAAAGUCUACACACAACUUGGUACUCUUACUAAUACUCAUAUGCUGGACAUUGUGUUCAUUUCUUCCAUUUUGCUAUAUCUAUAUCACAUCCCUACUCUUUCCUUUUUAUUAUUAUCGUAAUCUAAUUUCAAAACAAAGUAGAUUUAGAGGAACAUUACACUAAUGUUAACAUCGACCUCCAAAACAAUAAUGCAUUCUUUGAUAAAACCUUGAUACUAAGGUUAAGAUUAUUUUUCUAUAAAAGAUACUAUUUUGUCUUUAAAAUUUGGGUUUAGUUUUCAACUUGCUCCGUAGAUUUUAAAAUGAAAACUACUGUAAACGAUAAUACCGUUAAAAAUAUUUACAAAUAUAGCAACCUUUUAAAAUCUAUACACGGAUGGAAAUGUAUCAAUGUCUAUCGUGAUUUGAUAAACUGUGAUUUUUUUUGCUACAAUAGUAAAUAUAUUUUAAGCAUCUUGACCUUUAAAAUAAAAUUUUUAUUUAUUAUAUUUAAAAAUAUUCUACACCAAUAAAAUGUUAAAUUAUCUUUUAAUUUUUGUUUAGAGUUGAAAUUAAUUGAGAGGGUAUGGUAUGAUUAAGUUGGUGGCUUCUACGCGCAUUCACCUAACUUUAGAUUCAUCUUUACCCUUUUUGUAUAUCUUCAAUUACUUUGACAUUUUUGUUUUCUUAUUAUUCAAAAGUUUUUAGAAUAAUCCUUUUUUUAUUGGGUGUAAAAGGAAGAACACAACACAUCUUUCUGUCCAUCUUCUUUGUCCAUUAUUCUAAAAGAUUUGAUUCCAUUUUCCAUGAAUUCUCAUACUUUUUCCUUGCAUUAUUAAGCUUUCAAUUACAACAAUAACCAUCCAUUUAUUAUUAUUAUUAUUAUUAUUUUCAUUUAAGUCUAUUUGAUUCUAAAUUUUUAAAAAUAUUUUAUAUAUUCAAAGGUCGGAGAUUUAUUGAAAUGCUUUGAAUUCUCGCCGUAUGAACGAUCUAGCUUGCAACACCACCAAGUCUCACCUCAUUCUUAAAAGCAUAUUAACAUGACUAAAAUGUUUUCAUUCUCCCAUAUUAUAAGAUAUUUUUUCAUGUUCAAUCCAUUGAAAUACUAAGUUAUAACUAUAAGUCGCUAUGUCAAUGGACGGUCCUAUCAAAUAUACAUCCAAACAGAGUAAGACAAGAGAAGAAGAAGAAAAAAGGUUUACUCCUUACCAUGAUGGAUUUAUUUGUCCCAUGAUAGGUGAAGACUUGUUGAAGAUCAAACAAAAUUUGAAUUCAUUCUAAUUAACUUUGUUUUCUCAUAAUAUUUCCUUUUUUGUUUUGUUCCCAGUGGAGUCAGCAAAAGUACACAGGUGAAAAAUUCACACUUGCUAAUAUAAUCAUUUAAGGUGCAAAGUAGAUUCUUAUUGUCGAUAUGUGUUAUAAUAAUUUGUGUGUUACUACAAUCUAUGUGUAGAUGCAGAUCCUUAUAGAGUUUGAUUUAUAAUAGUAUACAUAUUUGAGGUGUUGAUUAUUUUAAUAUAUUUUAUAAUACUAUGUAUAUUGAUUGCAUAUUACUAUAGCCAGAAACAUAACGGUAUGUAAAUUAAAUGUAAGUUAUUUUAGAUCAUGUAUAAUUUUUGUAUGAUUUUUUUAUCAUACAAAUAAUUAUGUAUGUGAAAUAUUAUUUUUUCAAAAUAUAAUUAAAACUAUAGUUCUUUAUACCAAAUUAAUUGAAUUUUAAUUUAUGUUAAAAAAAAUUAUGUAUUGUUUUGCCAUUUAUGGAGAUACUUUAGUUAACUCAUAAUGGUAUAAUUAAAAUAUUAUAACAAAGAUGACAAACAAAAAAAAUAUUUCAAACUUAGUUUUCUUAUUUUCAUUUUUUUCUUUUUCUAGAUCAUUUUUAUUUAUCGUUUUCUAAUUAUUACUAAACAGGUUUGAUUCAUUCUCUUGAAAGUUUCAACUCAACAUAAAAUAUGUAGAGUUUGUUUUAAAAACAGAUGAUUAUACGUUUGACUGAAUUGUCAUGAAUAACUUCAAGUUAUACACUCAUGAUUUUUCUUUUUGUUAAAUUACAAAAGUACUUCCUUUAACUUUCUCAUUUGGAAGAAAAAUGAAUAUUUAUUUUCUUCUUAAAUUAACUUCAAUACCAUUGAAAUUCUCACUAGUUCUAGUCUUCUAGAUCACCACCAUAUUAUUUAAAAUCCCAAAUUUAUAUUUAGAAUUUUAAAAAAUUACUGUUUAAAGGUAUUUGGAAAACAUUUACAAAAGAUAUAUAUUAUAAAAAAAAUAGAAAUAUUUAAUUAAAUAAUAAUAUAAUAAAAUUUCAUUUUUGUUUACAUAUGGUAAUACAACUAGUGAAGAUGUAGAUACAUGUUGAAUAGAAAAAAUCUAAUUUUUUUUUAUAGAAAAAUCUCACUAACCUUAUGCAUUCAUUAACCACCCCAAUAAAUAAACUCAAAUUGAUCUCACAAAUAUCAUUAAUUGCACAUUAGAAUCAUUUUUUAGUAAAGAAAAAGCAAGACGACCAAUUUGAGAAAGUAAAAUAAAACAAGGGAAAAUGCAUGCCAGCUUAUUAAUGAGGACAUUAGCAACCUUAGUUUAAAUAAUCAAUUAAUUAAUUGCUUCAUGUUUUUGAGAUCUAACAAAAGCAUAGUUGUUGUAAGAUAUUACUAAAAUAUAAGAACAUUCCAAUGACAAAAAAAUAAAAAAAGAAAAGAAAGAAAGAAAAAAAUAGUGCAUGCUUUGAUGUAAUAAGCUUUUAAUCAAUCAAUUUUUUAUUCAUUUAUUUACUUUUGAGAAGAGACUUUGAAAUAAUGCCACAAAAUUGUCUCAUAAUUUUAUAUAAAGUUGACUUUGAAAUUAUAAGGUUGCUAGAAAAUUAAUUUGGAGGAAGAUUAAUAAUUACAUUAUUUUAUUCUUCUCACAUGGGGAAUGUUUCAUUCAUCUCUAACAAGUGUUUUUCUUUCAGAAAAAAUAAAUGCAAGUUCAAAAAUAUUUGUCAAUCUACAAAUUUUGUUUGCAGACAACUUUGUAUCAAAAAAAUUUAUACAAUUAUUUAUUUAGUAUCUCCAUGUAUUUGAUAGAAAUAGUAUGAAGUUUGAAGACUAAGUGAUUCUAUCGGUGUUUAAACUAAUAGGUGAGAACAACCAUAAAUUUAAUCACUCCCUUCAAAUUUUAUAAUAUAAAGAAUCUAACUCACUAGUGCACAUCAUCAAUUAUCAAAAAUUGGAUUCUCUUAUUGUUUCUUUCCUUUUUUUUUGUUACUAUUAUUUUUAUUUCCAUUCACAUCUUCAAUAGUCAAUUCUAUUUUAAUUGUCACAUGUCACUAAAAUACUUAUUGCCUAUCUCUACCAUAUUGGUGGAAAAAAUGUAAGAAAUCUUCUAACAUUUUAUAAAUACAUGACAUGUUUAAGAGGGUUUAACUAAUGCAUAAAUUUAUAAUAAAAAAUAGAUCAUAAAUAUCUAGUUAUUAUAGUGAAAUAAAACCCCUAGUGUAAGACAUCAAAUUAUUAUUAGGACUAAAUUUUAAUUAUAAUCUAUAAAUGUAGAUGUUGAAUAAAAUUUAAAAUUUAAUCUAAAAAAUUAGGAAUCAAUAAGAAUGAAUGCUUUCAUCUAAUGUUGAGCUAAAAACAAAGGUAAUAUAAAGUUUAAAAUGGUAAUUUAACUUGAAAAUUUAAAACUAUAAAAAGGAAUUAAUUACGGGGUUAUUUAUUUAAACUUUUUGAAUUUGGUAGAAAAUUAGGAAUUAGUAUAGUGACGUUUGGGUUUGCAAUAGAAUAAUGAUUAAUCAAUGAGUCCCAAACUUCAUUGCAAUUAUUGUGGGUGGGUCUCUUAUGAUUGGAUCGACCAUAUAUUAAAAUAGAAUUAGAAGUGUGUUUAAUUUAUGUCAUAAGAAGAAACAUUAUAUUAUUUUUCCUAACACAUUGACCCAUGCAAACUUUGAUAAAUAGGCCUCACCAGCCUUACACCUAUAUUUGUCGCUCUAUUCAACUUAAUUAGUAUACUUUUUGUUAAAAUUUUCUUUUCACACAUAUCAAUUAUUUAAACAUACUUUACCUCUUUAACAUCACGUUUUACCCAAUCUAUAAUCAAAAGUUGUAUUAUCAUCCUCAUUUUCUAUCCACGAAUCUAUCUAAAUAUUUUGCAUUACCUUUGUCGUUAUCGUUUAGAUCAUUCAAUAACGAUAAUAGCAAAUAUGACAUUUUCAUACUUCUUCCAUUGAUUUUAUUUUACAUAUAUUAUAAUAUUUUCAUGUAAUUAUCAACCAUAAUUGUAUUGAGCAUCCCUUCCUACACAAAAUCGUUAUUGAUUGUUCGUCAAAAUUGAGUAUUUUUUGGUUGGGAGCAUACCAUAUAUAAGACUUCCAUUUUAAUGAGAUUGAGAUAAUAUGAUCUCCAUGUGCUUAUAAAUUUCUUAUACUUUUCUUCUCACAAUUAAUCUCUACUUUAAAAAUAUAUAGAAAUACUAACAUUUAAUAAAAAAAACAUUUAAUUAUUUAAUCAUGAUGCAAUAUACAUAUAUAGUUGAACAUUAGUCAAGUUUUUAAUAAAGGUAAUUAUUAUUGGAUAUUUGAAUGUCUAUUGUCUCUAAUAGUUUGAAAUGUUUAACUUCAAAUAUUUACUAUACACACCCUUUGUUUCAACUAAAAGAAGUCUUAGAUUUUGAAAAGUGAUUAGGUUAAUAAUUAGGUUAAUAAUUAGGUUAAUUUUGAAUGGAGGUCUUAUCAAACGACUAAACAAAGAGAAGGAAUUGAAAGAUUUGAUAAUGAAAAGAGAGCAACACUUAACUACGAUCUACUCUCUCGUCACAAAAAAGAAAAAUUAUGUAGUUGAAUAAUUAAGUGGAACAUAGAAAAUAGAACUAACUGUUGUUAUAUUUGUGUAAUGAGAAAUUAAAAGUGAUGAAAAUGCAUUUAUUAAGCUAUUAAGUAUAGCACAACCUCUGCUUUGAGCAAAAAAGGAUGAGCUAAGAUUCAUUACAGAUAAAGACAGUACAUGAGAAGUAAAGCCGUUUUACAAAGCAAAUACAUGUGAUUUGAUUUAAAACCUGCAAUAAUAAUAUUGGAAAGCUGUAAUAUAAUAAUAUCAAUAGUAAUAUAUGAAAAAGAAACACCAAAUAUACUAUAGAGAUUGAUUCCUUUCAUUUCCCCUAUUGAACCAAACUAAAAUUCACACUGUGUGCUUCAAAUCUUUCAAACAAAACCCUCUUAUUUUGACUUCCACAUAUAUAUAUUCUCAUCUUCAGAUCCCUGCACAACACAACAAAUUAACCAAAAUUAAUUAUUUGGACCCAAGUUUUUGUUUUUUAUUUUUGAAUUUUCUCUAUCUAUUGGGGUCCCUACCACUGAAUUUUGGAUAUAAAUCAUAAACAGUAGUCCAAAUUUUAGUGACGGCCAACCAAAUUUUUAUGAUGUUAAAAAUCCACAGAAUUAUUAUUUGUUUGUUUUCAUUUUCAUCCACAUUUCUCUGUCCUUUGAAAGUAACAUAUAUUAUUAGUUAUGUUUACUGUUAUAUACGUGGAGAAAAGACAACGCAAUUUGGUGGGAGAUUUAAAAUUACCUUGACCUAGGACAUUUAAUUCCUAGUAGUGUGGAGGUGGCGGUGGCGAUGAGUAGUAAUAAACGGGAGGUGGUGGGGAAUGGUAUACUGGUGGUGGUGGAGAAUGAUAGACCGGAGGUGGUGGGAGUGGUAUACUGGUGGUGGUGGAGAGUAGACGGGAGGUGGAUAGUAUACUUUCUUUGGUGGUGGUGGAGAGUAGACGGGAGGAGGGUAGUAUACCUUCUUCGGUGGUGGUGGAGAGUAGACGGGUGGUGGGUAGUAUACCUUCUUCGGUGGUGGUGGAGAGUAGACGGGUGGUGGGUAGUAUACCUUCUUCGGUGGUGGUGGAGAGUAGACGGGUGGUGGGUAGUAUACCUUCUUCGGUGGUGGUGGUGAGUAGACGGGGGGUGGGUAGUAUACCUUCUUCGGUGGUGGUGGUGAGUAGACGGGAGGUGGGUAGUACACCUUCUUCGGUGGUGGUGGUGAGUAGACGGGAGGUGGGUAGUACACCUUCUUCGGUGGUGGUGGUGAGUAGACGGGAGGUGGGUAGUAUACCUUCUUUGGCGGUGGUGGUGAGUAGACUGGUGGUGGGUAGUAUACUUUCUUUGGUGGUGGAGGAGACUUAUAGACGGGUGGUGGAUAGUAUACCUUCUUGGGAGGUGGGGGAGACUUGUAGACUGGAGGUGGGUAGUAUACCUUCUUUGGUGGUGGAGGAGACUUAUAGACGGGAGGAGGGUAGUAUACCUUCUUGGGAGGUGGGGGAGACUUGUAGACGGGAGGUGGGUAGUACACCUUCUUGGGAGGUGGGGGAGACUUGUAGACGGGAGGUGGGUAGUACACCUUCUUGGGAGGCGGGGGAGACUUGUAGACGGGAGGUGGGUAAUACACCUUCUUAGGUGGCGGAGGAGACUUGUAGACGGGAGGUGGGUAAUAAACCUUCUUGGGUGGCGGAGGAGACUUGUAGACAGGAGGUGGGUAAUACACCUUCUUUGGUGGUGGUGGAGAGUAAACUGGUGGUGGAUAGUAAACCUUCUUGGGUGGUGGUGGAGAGUGAUACACUGGAGGUGGAUAGUAUGAUUUCUUGGGUGGUGGAGGAGAAUGGUAUACUGGAGGCGGGUAAUAUACCUUCUUAGGUGGAGGAGGAGAAGCGUAGAUAUAAUUAGCAUUGGUAGUGGACGGCAGAGUUAGGGAAAGGAGAGCAACAAAGGCAGCAAAAAGAAUAGGAGCCAUUGAAGAUCCCAUUUUUCCCAUCCUUGAAUGGAUUGGUGGGUUUUUAACACUGCCUUUC
rnacentral:lncRNA from 1 species